UAUUAGCAACUUUCUCUUUUUUUCUUCUACAUUUCCCCUUUUUCCCCACCAUGUUCGUUUCAAAGGGUCAUUUCGGUUUGAAUCUAAAUGUUUGUGUGUUUAAAUGUUGUGAAUGAGCGGCAUUACUGAGAUUGAUGAGUGCAAGGUCGGUGUUGUUUGUUGGUUUUGUGAUCGUUUGAGAUGUGAUUUUUUAUGAAUUCUGAGAGAUCAGAGGAUUAUGAUGGCUACCAAAAAGGAUGAAUCACAACAGAAAAUAGCUUGCAAAAAGGAAGAUCCGUCUAAAACACAACUGAAAAUGGAAGAGACAUCUCAAGCACAACAGG